GCGUUGAAACACCGGGUGCCGUACGAUCAUGGAAGUUAAGCAACGUCGAGCCUGGUUUGUACUUAGAUGGGUGACUAGCUUGGGAA